CUUUGGGAUAACCCUCGGAAACGGGGGCUAAUACCGGAUAUGACCUCCUGUCGCAUGGUGGGGGGUGGAAAGUUUUUCGGCUUGGGAUGGGCUCGCGGCCUAUCAGCUUGUUGGUGGGGUGAUGGCCUACCAAGGCGGUGACGGGUAGUCGGCCUGAGAGGGCGACCGGCCACACUGGGACUGAGACACGGCCCAGACUCCUACGGGAGGCAGCAGUGGGGAAUAUUGCACAAUGGGCGGAAGCCUGAUGCAGCGACGCCGCGUGAGGGAUGACGGCCUUCGGGUUGUAAACCUCUUUCAGCAGGGACGAAGCGUGAGUGACGGUACCUGCAGAAGAAGCGCCGGCCAACUACGUGCCAGCAGCCGCGGUAAGACGUAGGGCGCGAGCGUUGUCCGGAUUUAUUGGGCGUAAAGAGCUCGUAGGCGGCUUGUCGCGUCGACUGUGAAAACCCGCGGCUCAACUGCGGGCUUGCAAUCGAUACGGGCAGGCUAGAGUUCGGUAGGGGAGACUGGAAUUCCUGGUGUAGCGGUGAAAUGCGCAGAUAUCAGGAGGAGCACCGGUGGCGAAGGCGGGUCUCUGGGCCGAUACUGACGCUGAGGAGCGAAAGCGUGGGGAGCGAACAGGAUUAGAUGCCCUGGUAGUCCACGCUGUAAACGUUGGGCGC
rnacentral:rRNA from 1 species